rnacentral:rRNA from 1 species
CUACGGGCCGCUGCAGUGAGGAAUAUUGCACAAUGGGGGGAACCCUGAUGCAGCAACGCCGCGUGGAGGAUGACGCAUUUCGGUGUGUAAACUCCUUUUAUAUGUCAAGAAAAUGACGGUAGCAUAUGAAUAAGCACCGGCUAACUCCGUGCCAGCAGCCGCGGUAAUAAGGAGGGUGCAGGCGUUACUCGGAAUCACUGGGCGUAAAGGACGCGUAGGCGGGUUGGAAAGUCAGGUGUGAAAUCCUACAGCUUAACUGUAGAACUGCACUUGAAACUUCUAAUCUAGAGUAUGGGAGGGGGAGAUGGAAUUAGUGGUGUAGGGGUAAAAUCCGUAGAUAUCACUAGGAAUACCUAAAGCGAAGGCGAUCUCCUGGAACAUUACUGACGCUAAGGCGUGAAAGCGUGGGGAGCAAACAGGAUUAGAUACCCGCGUAGUC